GUCAUGGGAAGGGUACAGAAGUGAAGAGGGUUAGGUGGGGUACCAAAGGCAUAACGCAUGUUAUCACAGAUACAGUAUGCGAUCAUCACGGACACCGUGAGGGUGUUAGACAGUACAAUGUACAAAAUACAAAUAUGAACAUGUAUAGUAACAUAUCCUCUGAUCCUUAACGUGCGGUCAUGGGUCUCUUUCGCUUGUAUCGUGUUCAAUGUGGUUUGGCGGUGUCGAUCUGCAGUGUUGGCAUGGUUGGUAGUCUUUGGUUAAGGGAGGGGGGGGAGGGGGAAUGCGGGGGGUAGGGGGGAGAGUGAAUGUUUGGGGUUGAUGUGUGGUGUGCAUGAAUCAUGUUGUGGUUAAGGAGUGGGUGCGUGGACAUGGAUUGGAGUGGCUUCUUCCGUGCCUCUGGAGGAGGGAGUUGUGUCUCUCGAUUCUGGUAGUGCUUUGUUAUGCAUUUCAGCGUGGUUUGUUUCUGUCCCAUAUGUCCCAAGCCUCAGUCCAGUAAGAUUUGUUUUGUGCUGGUUUUCUCGCUGCCAUUUCGUAAGAUUUGGAAGUUUCUAUAGCUGUAAUGCACUGGCUGAUCGUGGGGGCAGUGGGUUGUUUCCAUUUCCUGCUUAUGACGGUGAGAGCUGCUAUGCAGAUGUGGUAUAGCAAGUACCUGGUGUGAAUGUGAGGUGUUUGGGGGAGUAGUAAUAGUAGAUAUAGUUCAGGUAUCAAAGUAAUUUGCAGUUGGGUGCAGCGGAUCGUUAGAUUUAGGACUUGUGACCAAAACUGUUUCAGCAGUGGGCAUUGCCACCAUAUGUGCAGCAGGGUACCUCGGUCUCGCUGGCAGCGCCAGCACGUGUCUGACACGUUCGGGUAGCUGUGUUUAAGUCUCGUUGGUACGAGAUACCACCGGUACAUCAAUUUACGGGAGAGUUCUGUGUGUGAUGUGCAGAGGGAUAGCUUGUUGUUGGCGCGGAAUAUAUAUUGCCAUUGUUCAUCAGUGAGUUCAUGCCCUAUGUCUUUUUCCCAUGCUAUCCUAUAGGAGGGUAUUUUGCCGUGGGUGUCUGUCUUUUCAGAUGUGUAAAUUGUUGAGAUAAUUUUUGUUGCCGGUUUCGUCUUGGUGCAUAUCUCUGUCAGUUUAAGCCAGUGUGGAUCAGGUGGGUGUACUGUUUGUUGCGAUUUAUGUAGGUUUAUCCAUGAUUGUAGCUGGUUAUAGGAGAAGGUCGCUGUCGUUGGUAUUCGGAAUUCUUCACAUAUAUCCUUGAAUUGCUUGAGUUUGGUGCCCUGCAACACCUGCGACAGCGUGUGGAUGCCAUGUCUGUGCCAAAGUUUGUGGUUGAAAUUUGGGAUAAGGUGCUGGAUCGAUUCUAUUGGGGUUGCCGGUGAGAUAGGUGACAUGUUCCCCUUAUUUUUGCGGUAGUCAUCCCACACAGAGAGAGUAAGUGUGGUUGUCGGCAGCAUUUCUGGCGCUUUGGGUCUGUGUUUCGGUGGCAUCCAUGCCACGGCGGGGAGUGAGAUGCCGUCGGCUCUAUGUUUCUCCAAUUCGACCCAUGUCAUGGGAGUCGAGCGGUGGGAAGCUGCAAUAAGUGGAGCAAUUUGCGCAGCUCUAUAGUAACCUUUCACAUCUGGUAGACCCAUCCCUCCUUGGGCUCGUGUGGCGACCAUCGUGUUCAGGGCUACUCUUGGUUUUUUGUAGUCCCAUACAUAAUCAUUUAUUGAAUUUUGCAGGUCCUUUAAGUACUUGUUGGGGAGCUUAAGUGGGAGCGUGCGGAACAUGUACUGGAUUUUCGGUAGGAUUACCAUUUUUACGGAAGCUAUUCGGCCCGUCCAGGAUAUGUACUUGCCCCUCCAGCUGUGCAGCAGAGUUCGAAUUUCUGUGAGGAGUUUGAUAUAAUUGGCUUUAUAUAGGGAGUUCGUGGAUGGUGUGAAGAGGAUGCCUAAGAAUUUGAUAUGAUCUCGUCUCCAAUCAUAGUUGAAAUUGGUUUUGAGGAGCAAUAGUUCUUGAUUGGGGAUGUUGACGCCUAGGGCGAGUGUUUUGGAGAUGUUCAAUUUGUAGUAAGAGCAGGCGCUGAAUUGGGAGAGGAUUUUGUGGAAAUUGGGCAGGGAUAUGUGCGGUUGUUCUAAGGUGAGAAGGAUAUCAUCCGCAAAUAAAGAUAGUUUAUAUUCUCGGUUUUUGAUUUUGAUCCCGUGUAUAUUGGGGUUGUCUCUGAUCAGUUGGGUAAGGGGUUCUAGUGUCAGGAUGUAGAGGAGGGGGGAAAGGGGGCAGCCCUGUCUGGAGCCAUUGGAGAUGUGGAAUGGUUUCGAUAUAAAUCCCCCGUUCACUACCUUGGCUGUUGGGGAGGAGUAAAGUGCCGUGACAAGCGCUAAAAAUUGAGGGGGAAAAUCGAAUUUUCGGAGUACUGCCAUUAGGAAGGGCCAGUGUAGCCUGUCAAAGGCUUUUUCAGCGUCUAAUGAUAAUAGAACGCUGGGGGUUUUAUUCCGUUGGAUCUCGUAGAGUAGGUCUAGUGUUUUCCUUGUGCCGUCAGUGCCUUGUCUACCACCCACGAAUCCCACCUGGUCUUCCUGUAUCAGAGAGGGUAUGAUAUGUGCUAACCUGUUGGAGAAGAUUUUCGCUAUGAUUUUUACGUCCGUGUUUAACAGGGAGAUAGGGCGGAGGUUUUGACAUCUGUUGGGGGGUUUCCCCGGCUUAGGGAGGGUGGCGACGUGGGCCAUUAGCAUCUCUUUUGGCAGGUGGCCUGUCAGUGUGGCGUGGUGGUAUACCCUUUGUAGGUAGGGGGCCAGGAGUGGCGCGAAUUGCUUAUAGUAGGCAUUGGUCAUGCCGUCAGGGCCUGGUGAUUUCCCGGGGGGUAAGGAGUUAAUGGUAUCCAGUAUUUCUUGUGUGGUGACUUGAAGUUGUAUGGCAUUCUUUUGUGUUUCAGUAAGAGUAGGAAGCUGAGUCUUCGCAAGAAAUUCUUCGAUUUCUAUUGUGUUUGGUUGGUGUAGAGUGGGAUCUGUGCAAAGGUUAUAUAGAGAGUGGUAAUAGUCAGCCAUGUUGUCGUUGAUGUCUUGCGGGUUGUAUAUUUUGUCGCCCUUGGCGGUAAACAAGUGUGGAAUUUUAGAGUUACAUUGCUGCUUUUUAAGCAUAGUGGCCAGAUGUUUCCCAGCUCUGUUGCCUUGGGUGUAUGUUCUCAUUUUCAGUUUGGCAAGGAUGUGGGACGUUUUUUCCAAAGAUAAUGCGUUAAGUUGUUUGGUGAUUUCUUGGAUUUCCUCAGCGUGGGCUGUGGAGGGGGUUAGAAGGUGAGCCGCGGUGGUAUCUCUCAGUUUACGCAGGAGAUCUGUGUGGUGUUUUUCUCGCUCACGUUUCAGGUGGGAUGCACGGCUGAUUAUUAAGCCUCUCAUCACCGUUUUAUGGGCUUGCCAUAUUGAGAAUAUGGAGACAUCUGGGGUGUCAUUUGUCUUGAAAAAUUCUUUUAAGUUUGUUGCCAGUAGCGUUGUGAAUGUUUGGUCAUAGAGCAAUGACUCGUUGAGGCGCCACGGCGGCUUACCUCGGUGUUGAUAGGCGGAAUGUAGGGUCAUUGUUAUCGGGGCAUGGUCAGACCAUACUAUAUUGCCGAUGGAGCAGUUUUCUAUGUGUGGGAGUAACGUGCCUGAGGCAAGGAUGUGGUCUAUUCUGGAGAAGGUUUUAUGUACUUGUGAGAAGAACGUGUAUUCUUUUUCUGAGGGGUGUUUUGUUCUCCAAACAUCGUAUAAGCUAUUUUCAUGGAUGAGCUUGGUGAAAGCCUUGGUUUGGGGCCUGAGAGUGUGGUGCCUUGUCGACGUGUUUGGAAUGGUUGAGUCCAUAUGUGUGUCCAUGACGUGGUUAUAGUCGCCACAUAUGAUCUUGGGGUCAUUCACACCCUCGGGUAGCUUGGCGAGAAUUUUGUGUAAGAAGUUACGUUGUUGUUCGUUUGGGCUAUAGAGGCAUACUAUGACAUAUGGGUGCUCAUUUAUUCUACAGUGUAGAAUUAUGUACCGUCCCUGGUUGUCUUUUUUGACCCUAAGAGUUUCUACGGUUAGAGAGUUAUGUAGCAGGAUGGAUACGCCUCUGGAUUUGGAGGUGUGGGUGGCGUGGUGUUGCGUGGGAUAUUCCCUGAGGGCGAAGGUUGGGACUUUAGUGGAGACAAAGUGCGUUUCUUGUAUGCAGACAAUGUCCGCCUUGGUUUGUUUGAUAUCAUUGAGGAGCAUGCGUCGUUUAUGUGGCGUGUUCAGGCCUUUGGUGUUAUGCGAGUAGAUUAGCAUGGUCGUUAUUGUGUGUUAUGAGGUUUGGGGAAUUUGUCUGGAAUGUGUGCAAGCCGGGUUGGUUGGUGUGUGAUUCUCUGCGUUGAUAAGCGUUGGAGGGGGUGGGUGGGUUGCAGGAGUGUGGGGAAGUAAUGAGUAGGAGGGGUUAUGUACAGGACCUAUUGGUCUGGUACUCUAUGUGUACCUGGGGGAUAGGAGCUAGAGCUUCCGGAUACGUGGCUAAGCGGGCUCCUAGGUGAUUCUUAAUAAAGUUGAGCUGAAAACACAUAAG